rnacentral:misc_RNA from 1 species
GGAAAUUGAAGAUUUAGCUAAUUAUCUUGUUCCUAGAGAAUUGAAAAGCCUUUCUAUUGUGUUGUGACUGAUUUUAUAUGUUCAGAUGUUUCUGGAGAUGUGAAGGGCAGAAUGGAUGUUCAUUGUUUAAUCUUAUUGCUAGUUGCUACAAUCAAAGAAGAUAGAGUUAAUUGAUCUCCAAAUUAAGUUGUUGAUUUUUCAGCACUAAAAACUUGAAAUCAAGUUUUCUCCAACUAUUGUAGAAUGAUGCAAUCACAGU